GGCCAAGCCUGGAUCUAGCCCAGCUCUGCCACCAGGCAGGUCCCAGGCUGGAGGAGACGCCGGCAGCCAUGCAGGUCCAGCCCCGUCUGGCGCCCGAGCCCCGCACAGGCCAGGUGACUCUGGGGUCCAGCAGAGGACUAUCGCCCAGCGGCACAGUGGUGGAGAGUUCCAGCUCUGGAGCCUGGCAGAUGUGGGUCAAGUCCCUUGGCCUUGCCAAGUCGUGUUUCUGCUGGUGCCACAUGAAGCCAUCUGUGUGUGCCUGUC
rnacentral:lncRNA from 1 species